GGCAACGCUGGCGGCGUGUCUUAGCCAUGCAAGUCGAGCGGACUUAUGGGGUAACUUAUAAGUCAGCGGCGGACGGCGGAGUAACACGUAGCUAACCUACCCUCUGGACGGGGAUAACCUACCGAAAGGUGGGCUAAUACCCGAUGUAGUCAUCCUGUAUAGGGGUGAUGAAAGGUGGGCUUCUGUUUACAAGCUCAUGCUGGAGGAGGGGGCUGCGGCCUAUCAGGUAGUUGGUAGGGUAAUAGCCUACCAAGCCGAUGACGGGUAGCCGGCCUGAGAGGGUGACCGGCCCGAGGGGCACUGAGAUACGGGUCCCACUCCUACGGGAGGCAGCAGGCUAGAAAUUUGGGCAAUGGGGGAAACCCUGACCCAGUGACGCCGCGUGCAGGAAGGAGCCCUUCGGGGUGUAAACUGCUGUCGUGUAGGGAGAAGGGUACUAAGGUGAACAAUCUUAGUACUUGACGGUACUACAGGAGGAAGCCCAGGCUAACCUCGUG
rnacentral:rRNA from 1 species